rnacentral:rRNA from 1 species
CACCCGCAGCUCGAGUGGUGGUCACUUUUAUUGAGCCUAAAGCGUUUGUAGCCGGUUUUGCAAAUCUUCAGAUAAAUUCCUCUGCUUAACAGAUGAUCUUCUGAAGAGACUGCGAGACUUGGGACCGGGUGAGGUUGAAGGUACUUCCGGGGUAGGGGUAAAAUCCUGUAAUCCUGGAAGGACGACCGGUGGCGAAGGCGUUCAACUAGAACGGAUCCGACGGUGAGGAACGAGGGCUAGGGUAGCAAACCGGAUUAGAUACCCGGGUAGUCCUAGCUGUAAACACUGCCCACUUGGUGUUGCCCCUCCGAUGAGGGGAGGCAGUGCCGGAGCGAAGGUGUUAAGUGGGCCGCUUGGGGAGUAUGGUCGCAAGGCUGAAACUUAAAGGAAUUGGCGGGGGAGCACCGCAACGGGAGGAGCGUGCGGUUUAAUUGGAUUCAACGCCGGAAAACUCACCGGGAGCGACCUUUGGAUGAGAGUCAGCCUGAUGAGCUUACUCGAUAGAAGGAGAGGUGGUGCAUGGCCGUCGUCAGCUCGUACCGUAGGGCGUUCACUUAAGUGUGAUAACGAGCGAGACCCCCAUCUCUAAUUGCUAACGUGCAUUCGCGUGCACGCGCACUUUAGAGGGACCGCCAGUGCUAAACUGGAGGAAGGAGGGGUCGACGGCAGGUCAGUACGCCCCGAAUCUCCCGGGCAACACGCGCGCUACAAAGGGCAGGACAAUGAGUUGCCACCUCGAAAGGGGGAGCUAAUCUCGAAACCUGUUCGUAGUUAGGAUUGAGGGCUGUAACUCGCCCUCAUGAAUGUGGAUUCCGUAGUAAUCGCGGGUCAACAGCCCGCGGUGAAUAUGCCCCUGCUCCU